AUACCUUUCUCGGCCUUUUGGCUAAGAUCAAGUGUAGUAUCUGUUCUUAUCAGUUUAAUAUCUGAUAUGUGGUCCAUUGGUCCACAUGAUAUUAAAUUUAUAUUUUUAGGGAGAGGGUCAACUCCAGUAGCUUGCUAUUGGGGGCUCUCAAGCAUCACCUUUGCUUUGCACUAUUGCAAUGGAUGGGUGCAUCCCUC
rfam:Vigna angularis cultivar Jingnong 6 scaffold36_164, whole genome shotgun sequence.